rnacentral:lncRNA from 1 species
GCCGGGGCGGAGCGGGGCCGGGGCGCGGGGUUCCGGCCGGGGGUCCCCGCGCGGCGCUCUCUGGGCUCCCGCCCGAGCUCCGGGAACCGAGCCCCGAGCCCCAGCCCCGUGCUUGGUGACGUCAGGCAGCUGUCCACGGAGUCUACGCAAAUGACUUGCAUAAUGAGGAAGCGACGGCCAAUCAGAGUGAGAGUUGACCGGGCUCGGCCGGGGGCGGGAGGGGCCGGCGGGCUCACGCGCUCCUGCUCGCCAUGGCAACCGGACCCUAGGCGGCCCGGUGAGAGCCGAGGGUGUGCGGGCGUGGCCGGGACCGCGGGAGGGGAAGGAGCUUCGUCAUCCGUGCCGCUCGCUGUCUGCGGGAGCCGGAGCUGAUCCCCUCGGCAUACGCGGGCACACGCGGGCACACACACCUCCAAUAGCUGGAGUGUUUUCUGCGGGGGCGGAUGGGGAUUCCUCUCUUCUUUCCCACUACGGUCCCUAGGAUGUGGAUCCUACCCCGCGCCAUCCAUCACGCUCCCUCAGCCUGAUGCCUUCAACCCCUUCCUCACCCCUGAACCACAUUCGUCUCCCCUAGACCCCUAGGAGAAAGAGUAAAGCAAGCAAACCCCUGGAGUGUUCCUUGACCACUUACUUCCUCCUCGGGAAGAUGAAGGAACUUUAUGUGAGCCAUAUUUGCUCAGCACCCGUCACGCACCAGGUGUCCGGCUCACCCCAAUUCUGUACACUCAAGCGUUAUCCUUCUCCAGAAAAGAGAGCUGAGGUUCCGUCGGUCGAGGAGGUGAGGACCAGACCCGCCUUUGACAUUUGCUGUGCCCAGGACAAAGAUAAAAUGGAAUUCUACAUACCAGACACUGCCCAAGAGACAGGCCUGGUUUGUCACUAACCAGGUCUCCAGAGAGCAUGACUGAGGGAGACAGGAUGCUGCUGAAGGACCAGGUUUUCCUCAUAUGCCUUCUCUAAGCUUCUGAGACAAAGGCCGAGGACUUCUCCACCGUCACAGCCCCAGACCAGGAAAAAGAAUGUAAUAAUGGCCAAUGAAAUAUUCAUUCCAGACUGAUGCUGUAUACCACCGUCUCAAUCGCCGGGUUACAUUAUUGCUUCUGAACAGAAGAGCAGCAGGGGUAGUCUGGGACCACAGUGAGUCAUUUCUCCCUGGAGAAAGCUGGUCGUCAUUGCCCUGCUCCCAGGGCCUCUGCUGUCAUGGCGUCAGCUGUGCCACCCAGACUGGGACACGUGAGGCUGACAACGGGGUAGGAGGCGGCAGAAGCUGGCUGUAUUAUUUCAGGUGCUCGGACCUUGGGAAGUGCUCAGGAACAUUUAAAGAGUGGUUGAUAUGACAACCGGAAGCAGGGAGAUGAACCUUUGCAAAUGAGAAGGGGAUAUGAAAUGGAGGGAAGGAGGGAAAGGGAUGUAAACUGAAAUAAAGUGUGUCAUGUGCGCGGUCUGCCUCCCCAUGAUGAAUGUGAUCAGUGUGUACUGCAAACAUGUGCUGAGGAGAAUUUUUUAAAUAGUGGCUGAGUGAAAGAAACAGUAGCAAAAAGGAAAAAGAAUACAGUUCUAGGGGAAGGGUGUGAGUACCCAUAGAGGGGCUGGAGCCUCGGCCAUUGCUCAGAAUUCCUUCAGACCCCUGCGAUGCCCCUUCCAUAUACAGCAGCCUUGCAGGUAGGAUUCAACAGUACAGCGACCAGGCUGAGGAUGAGCGGGUGAGGAGAGACCUAGCAAAGCACAGGCUAAGGACAAGAGCACAGUACCUGCCUGGCAAGUGAGAGAUCCUGAGUUCGAUCCCCAGCACCAAAAAAAAAAAAAAAGAAGCAGCACAGAGACCAGGUAAGGUGCUGUAACCCCAGCACUUUUGAGGCUGAAGUAGGAAGAUCACCGUGAGUUCAAGGCCAGCCUGGGCUACACAGUAAGUUCAGUGAGUGGCCAACCUGA